rnacentral:rRNA from 1 species
UGGGGAAUUUUGGACAAUGGGCGAAAGCCUGAUCCAGCAAUGCCGCGUGUGUGAAGAAGGCCUUCGGGUUGUAAAGCACUUUUGUCCGGAAAGAAAUCCUUGGCUCUAAUACAGUCGGGGGAUGACGGUACCGGAAGAAUAAGCACCGGCUAACUACGUGCCAGCAGCCGCGGUAAUACGUAGGGUGCAAGCGUUAAUCGGAAUUACUGGGCGUAAAGCGUGCGCAGGCGGUUUGCUAAGACCGAUGUGAAAUCCCCGGGCUCAACCUGGGAACUGCAUUGGUGACUGGCAGGCUAGAGUAUGGCAGAGGAGGGUAGAAUUCCACGUGUAGCAGUGAAAUGCGUAGAGAUGUGGAGGAAUACCGAUGGCGAAGGCAGCCCCUGGGCCAAUACUGACGCUCAUGCACGAAAGCGUGGGGAGCAAACAGGAUUAGAUACCCUGGUAGUCCACGCCCUAAACGAUGUCAACUAGUUGUUGGGGAUUCAUUUCCUUAAUAACGUAGCUAACGCGUGAAGUUGACCGCCUGGGGAGUACGGUCG